GAACGCGCCUCCACCGGGUGCUGAGAGGUGGGCUGCGUUAGCCUGCGGGGUGCGGGGUGGGUGAGCUCCAGUCACCUCUGGGCCCCCUGUGCCCACCCGGCUCUCACCUGGGGGCCCUGCCCAUGUGGAGCUCCCAACUCGUAAAUUAGAGAGUUGGGGGGUCGUGGCGGGAGCUCCGGGGGGCCUAGAGGUGAUGGAGGGCAGGGCGCUGGGCAGGGAGCGUCCUCUGGGGGCCUCCCCGCCCGGGGAAGAGCAGAGACCCCAGGCAAACUCCUAAUUUGUUUCUUAUAUCACGGGUGCCCUCUGGUCUCUGACUAGAGCCACUAGCAAAACCACUGUAAAAGUCAAGAGAUACUGCAGUUUCCACUGUGGCUCAGUGGGUUAAGAAUCUGACUGCAGCGGCUCAGGUCGCUGUGGAGGCACAGGUUCAGUCCCUGGCCGGAGUGGGUUAAAGGAUCUGGCAUUGCUGCAGCUGCAGUUCGGAUUCAAUCCCUGGCCAGGAACUUCCAUGUGCCGCGGGUGCAGCCAUUAAAAAAAAAGUCAAACCACAUUGGCACGUUGCCAGAGCCAGCCCAGUCCAUCACCCUGUGUGAGAAUGUCCCCAGGGCGAGGCCACACAGGAGCGGGCCUCACGAUGCGGUCAGAUUCCAAAACAGGAGUGCACCGGGCCCCGGCCCGCCUCUCAGGCCCUGGUGUAUGUGAGCUGUGGGACGCCCUUGUCCCCAGCCUCUUUUGGGCACUGACUCCCUUCCUUCCAGCCCGAGCCCACGGGUCCAUCCCCUGACCCUUCACCCGCUGCCCACCUCUUCCGCGUGCACCCAGACUCCCGCCCGCAGGAUGGGUAACAGGUUCACAUGGAGCUGGUCUAGACUGCAGGCCGCCGUGUGCACCCAGAGAGUGCCUGCCCUCAGCCCACUUCCGUCCACGUGGGUGCAGGGCUCAUGGGCUCUCUGACCCCCGGGGGACGCCACUGCUCCUGCUGUCGGCCCCAGGUUUGUACAGGGGGGCGGGGGCAGCACCCCCCACACACACACACCUCUUCAGGCCCUGACGUCAGGUUCACAGACAGUGACAGUUUCUCGCCCGAGGUCAUCUCUGUUUCUGGCCCUUGUAGCUGCAGACCUGGUCAUUUUUGGCAUUUUUUUGGUGUUUUUUUUUUUUUUUCUUGCUUUUUUAGGGCCGCACCUGCAGCAUAUGGAAAUGUGGAAGUUGCCAGGCUAGGGGCCGAAUCGGAGCUACAGCUGCCAGCUUGCCCCUGUCCACUCGUGCGGGGUGGGCGCCCUGCGGCCCGUCUCAGCCUCUCAGACCUGCGCUCAGGAGGGCAGCUCUGCCCGUGGCUGGGCGUGAGGCGCGGUCCAGCGAGUGCCUCGUGCUGAGGAAACGAUGGUCGGCCGCCCAGACGCAACACGUCUCUUCCCGUCUGCUCACCGCUUCUGAGCCUCUGCGUCCAGGGUGAGCGUCUUCCUGUCCCCCAGGCCCCCAGCCUCAGCCUGACCCUCCAGCUUCCGGGCACCCCCUGCACCCCAGGGAGCCCGCCCCACAGUCACUUGCCACCUGGGUCUGUAGUUGGUGGUGGCCCCUCUCCUGCUGGCAUUUUGUGCCUCUGAAGCUGUGGACCCAUCACUGCGUCACCGCGGGGGCCCUGUCCACUCACCUCGUGCACCCAGGCAUGUGCCUCAGCUGAGCACAGCAGGCACCUGCUUGCCGAUUCCAGAUUCCAGCGCCUUCUGAACCUGCCGAGGCUUCCCCUGAUGUUCCCGCCUGAGCACCCCCACGCCCCCAGAGUUAUUUCCGUGGGGCCCUCGUGGGCGUCCCUUUAACGUAGCCUUCAUGCUGCCCUCAUGCUCGUUGCCACUGCCCACGUGUCAGUAGAAACCCACAUGCAGGACUGUGCCCAGCAUUCAACCCUCCCACCGUGGCCGGCCGGCCGGCAGCCCGCCUGACGGAGGCCUGCGCCCUCUUCCUCCAUCCAGUCUGGCGCCUUCCAGACAGCAGGCAACUGCCGCCCGCAGGCCAAGCAGCGCCUUGAUGGUCAGUGGAGAGCUGUUCGUGGGGCACCGUCUGCUGAAUCCAGCCGCUCCCCGGGCUGCGGGAAGCCUCCCGGGAGGCCAUGGCUCUGUCCCCAGAGUGUUCCUCCCUCGUCCUCUGGACGCUCUGGGCCCUUCAGUUUCUGUGAUCAUUCUCCGUCCUCCGACCCCGGGGUGGCUCCAUGGGGUCUGACGACAAGGUGCUAAACCCCCCGAAUGGAGGUUCUCUUGUCCAGAGUCCGGGCGUCGUGGCUGGGAGGGUCCCGUGGGCUCCAGCCCCGGUCUCGGCGGCGUGUGGCCAUCGCACAAGACCUGCCCGCCCGGCGCCUCUGCUUCUGUUUCCCCUGCUGGUGGGGGGCUCAGGCCCUCUUACUGGUUCCCAUUUAGCUGGGCCAGGGAACCCGGCUCGAAGGGCGGGCUUGCCCGCCUCCUUCGCGAGCUCGGGCAGGGGAAACGGCCCACAGGGGCAGAGCCCGACCCCCAGGCGCAAGCAGGCACCAGAGGCGCCGUCACUUCUCAGGAGCCUGUGCCGACAGCCCCGCUGUCCUCCCAACCCUGACCUUGAGUCCACCAAGCCCGGCUCCUCGCAGUGCUGCCCCUGGGACCUCACCUACAGGGUGUGGUUUCACUGGGGAGGGAAGCGCCCCCGGCUGUGGCCUCAUAUCCGUAAUCCCCAUGUCCUAAAUCAUGAAGUAAAGCCUGGCUGCACCCCUGCCACCCCUCACGCCCCGUACUCCCCCAAACCGCCUUUCCGAUUGCCGGCUCCACCAGCCGGUUGGUUUUGGCUCCAAGGGCCUGGGGGCUUCUGCACCGCGGCCUCCCGGCCCGUGUCCCGACCCGAGCAUUGUGCCCACGCUGUUCGAUCCCUGGCCUCGCUCGCUCGGUGCGCUAGGGAUCCAGGGCUGCCGUGGCUGUGGUGUGGGCCGGCGGGGGACAGAAGGCUCUGGGUCUCCAGCAGACUCUCUUGUCGACUUCGACCUUGAUUGAGCUGCCUGAUCCCGGUCCCCAGGGGCCUCCAGGUCUGCCCCCUCAUUGUCACCUCCGCCCUCGCUGCUCCUUUCAUUCCUCCAAACUGGGGAAAACAGACCAGACUUCUUGGGGGCCCCUAAGUGUUGGGGGUCCCCUGGGCCCCGACCCCGAGAGCUCUGAGUGAAGACCUUUGUUUUGCCCCAUCGACGACCUUUCUCUCAAGCCAUUUCCUAGUCUCCCUCUGAUUUCCACGCCGCCAGGCAGAGUCCCCCGUCUUCCCCAUUUUAUUAUUAGUCAGUUAUGUUUUGAGGAGCGUCUGUGAAACCCAUGGAGCUGAGACAGCAGGUUCUUCCGUCCGCUUUCUUCCUGGGGGGGGGGGCGUGCAAGGGGGCUCCCCGUGCAGUUUGUUCCCACUGCCUGUGAACCUAUAAUUAUUUCAAAAUAAUUGGGAAAAAGUUGCAGGCUGCGAAAUUCGAGCACUUUGAUGAAGUGGAAACGUUGCUAGACAAUGACUGGAUCGAGUACACGCCCGAAGGAAUCGAGCGGAGCAGGUCCCGCGGAUUCCCGCUGCGGCUCAGAGGAAACGAACCCGACGAGCACCCAAGAGGAUGCAGGUUCCACCUCUGGCCUCGCUCGGUGGGUUAAGGAUCCCGCGUUGCUGUGGCCGGGGCGCAGGUUGGCGGCUGCAACGCCGAUUUGACCCCUAGCCUGGGGACCUCCCUAUGCUGCAAGUGUGGCCCUAAAAAGACCAAAAGGAAAAACAAACAAACAAAAAGCCUUCAUGGCAACAUCGAGACUGGUGUUUGACCAACUCGCUGGGCACCAAGGCCUGACCGAGUUGACACGAAAUGAGCCAUCACACUGGAUAAAUGUGUGCUCAUCGUAUAAUUCUUUCUGCUUCUUUUCUGUAUUAAUGUUUUCAUUAAAAGGUAGGAGGCAAAGGAUAUUUGUUCACCAAAAGUCACAGUAAAGAAAGUGAAAGUCAAGUCACAAACGGGAGACAGUCUUUAUUUUUGUCUUUUUAGGGCCACACCAGUGGCAUAUGGAAGUUGCCAGGCUACGGGCUGCAUUGGAGCCCCAGCUGCCCAGCCUACACCACAGCCACGGCUCCGCCGGAUCCCUGAGUCAUGUCUGUGGCCUGCACCACAGCUCACGGCGAGGCCAGGGGUUGAAUCCACACCCUCGUGGACACCAGUCGGGUUCGUUACCACUGAGCCACGACACGAACGCCAGUCUUUUUUGGGGGUAAUGGCCAUACCCAAGGAAUAUGGAAGUUCCCGGUCCAGGGAUUGGAUCCGAGGGACAGCUGUGACCUACGCUGCGGCUGCAGCAAUGCCGGCUCCUUAAGCGAGGUCACUGGGCUGGGGAUCGAACCUCUACCUCUGAGCAACACAAGCUGCACCUGUGGUAUGUGGAAGUUCCCAGGCCAGGGGUCACAUGAGAGCUGCAGCUGUGGUCUACACCACAGCCAAAGCAACACCGGAUCCAAGCUACAUCUUCAACUACCCCAUGGCUCUCGGCAAUGCGGAUCCUUAAUCCACUGCGCGAGGCCAAGGAUCAAACUCGCAUCCUCACAGAGACAGCAUCAGGUUCUUAACCCACUGAGCUACAGUGGGAACUCCAGGAGAUAAUCUUUACACACAAGUAACAAGUGAUUUCUACCCAGUAAGACAUAAAACUUCCCCAUGAGUCAGAAGAAGAGACGUAGGAUGCAGUAAAAAUCUCAGCAAAAGACACGAGUAGGUAUUUGGCAGAAUAGGAAACAGAAGCAGCCCAUAAUCACAACCUGGUGAACAAGCAGGGACCAGGAAGGCAGCACAGCACAGCACCUCACACCUGCCAGAGCGACAGAAGUUUGAAGUUUGUGCACCGCUGUGAGGCUAGAGCUGGAACGAGCAACUCGGAUGGCUGCUGGGCGAGGUCACUGAGGGUGGACAUGGCGCGCGCACCGUGAUUUGGCGCCACUGCCGCUGGAUGGAACCCUACCUCAGCUCUCAGCCUGUGAGCUGUGCCCACGGCCGGGGUGGCUCUUGAAAUCAGGGGGUGACAUAAGCGCGGCUGUGGCUUCAGGUUAUUCAACUGGUGCAGAUUGGUGCAGGUGGCCGCACCUGGCACGUGGCUGCCCCACCAGGGGAUGCCUCGUUUGGUUUGGGCAUGUUGGGUCUGUCCCGAGCGGCAGAAAACCAGAGGCCAUUUGCCAUCAGCUAGAGGGACAGGAGGGUGGUCUUGCCUUGGAACUGCGCAGGUGCCCGGGCUCUCGGCCACAGCCGAGUCCGCAGGGACCUUGACCACUGGUCCGACCUGCGCCCCGGCUCCCAACCCACACGCUGUGCGGAGGAAGGCGCAGAGUUGGAGGAAAGCCUGUGAAAACACACGUCCUUGCUGGGUCCUGGGCACACAGGUGGGUCCCCUGCGUGGCCUUGUCACCUGCGCACAGCACCUCUGCAGGAAGCCGCAUCAGGGCACCGGCUCCGCUUCCGCCUGCAUCCAGGUGGCACGUCGGGUACAGAGCCAGUGGAGGUGCCCCGGUGGCUCCGGCAGCUGGAGAUGUCGGUCCCACGUGGGGGCACCACCGCACUCUGCCAGGACCUCACCUCCCCUUUGCCCACGCAGCGUUUGGCUUCCCCCUGGGCUCAGGGAGAGGCUGACUCUGUCCGUGGGAAAGCAGGGUGCCUGGAACCGCUCAUCCUCUGGGUCAUGAAGCCGGGCAGGCCCAGCGGCUCCCCACUGCCCGUGACGCUGGGCGUCCAGACCCUGUGAGGUUCCUGAACCCACGGCGUUCAGGCAGCCCCUCCCCCAGUCACCCCUGUGCCACCCAGUGGCCCGCAUGUAAAGCAGACAGAGGGUGGCAAGGGGAGCUGCCCGGGGGCCUAGCCGUCGGGCCGACCUGGACAACCCCGCAGCCGGAUGACGGUUUCUCACAGCAGCAUCCAGUUCAGCACCCAGAUGCGGUGUCUUACCUCCUGGGAGCCGGCCUGCCACCUGCUCACAGGUUCACUGACUUUGAACCCUGUAUUGGUCAGGAUUCUCCAGAGAAACAGAACCAGGGGGCUGGUGUUCCCUGGG
ensembl:lncRNA